rnacentral:rRNA from 1 species
CUUUCUGCAAGGUGCUGCAUGGUUGUCGUCAGCUCGUGCCGUGAGGUGUCGGGUUAAGUCCCAUACGAGCGCAACCCUUAUCGUUAGUUGCCAGCUGGUAAAGCAGGGGACUCUAGCGAAACUGCCACGUAAGGUGAGAGGAAGGUGGGGAUGACGUCAAAUCAGCACGGCCCUUAUGUCCAGGGCUACACACGUGUUACAAUGGCCGGCACAGAGGGCAGCUACCUGGUGACAGGAUGCUAAUCUCGAAAAACCGGUCUCAGUUCGGAUCGAAGUCUGCAACUCGACUUCGUGAAGCUGGAUUCGCUAGUAAUCGCAGGUCAGCUAUACUGCGUUGAAUACGUUCCCGGGGAUU